rnacentral:rRNA from 1 species
UACAGGGGGCUCGAGCGUUAGUCGGAAUCACUGGGCUUAAAGGGUGCGUAGGCGGCCCGCCAAGUGCUUUGUGAAAUCCCAUGGCUCAACCAUGGAACAGCAGGGCAAACUGGCGGGCUUGAGGCAGGUAGGGGCCGGAAGAACAGUUGGUGGAGCGGUGAAAUGCGUAGAUAUCAACUGGAAUGCCGAUGGGGAAGCCGUUCGGCUGGGCCUGUCCUGACGCUGAGGCACGAAAGCGUGGGGAGCAAACAGG